UCACAUCGAAUCAAACUUUUAAUUUAGUACACACACAAAUCUGCAGCAAGGGUAAACAUGCAUUUUUGUUUUCCUCUGCCACCUAAAUUUCUUUUCCUGAAAUGUGUUAUUUUCUUUUAUUUUGCAGGAUAGAGAAAGUUAGAAUAAACAGAAUAGAUGGAAUAGCAAAAGUACUAGGAACUAUCUGCUGUGUAGCAGGGGCCUCAGUGAUCACUCUAUAUAAUGGUCCAGUCAUAUACAGCCCAGCCCCGCAUCUAAACAGACCCGCACCUAUGUUUGUUUCACUUGGAGAUGCCAGGGGCAAGAACUGGACCCUUGGUUGCAUCUACCUCAUUGGCCAUUGCUUGUCCUGGUCUGGUUGGCUUGUGUUGCAGGCACCAGUUCUGAAGAAGUACCCCGCGAGGCUCUCGGUCACCUCUUACACCUGUUUCUUUGGGCUUAUUCAGUUCUUGAUUAUUGCUGCCUUCAUGGAGAGAGACCCACAGGCUUGGAUUUUCCACUCUGGUGGAGAACUCUUCACUAUCCUCUAUGCAGUUAGUAUCUAUCUCACCCGUAUUCCUCUUUGAGAUAAUUCAGUCUCCUGCUCUGAUAAGCUAAUUAAUUUCCUAAACCGAACAUUAUGGUAUACACAGCAUGAGAUUAGCCAGUUUAAUUAACUUGAACUUACUUAGGUAUUCCUGUUUUCUGUUUGGGGAACAUUAAUCAUGACAAGGAGAGCAAGUCAGAUCAUAAAUCAAAUCAAGGGUCUUAAUAUUUAUUCACUAGUCACCUUUAUUUUUAAUAACUAAUUAAAUACAGUUUUUUUUUUUUUAAUAUGAAAUCCUUUCUAACAUAAAUAUUUAUUUAUUUUUCUUGAUUUAAAGUUUCCAUGGUUAUUGUUUUUGCUUUUUUUUUAAAUUAUGAAAAAAUAGCUUGUUGAAUUUUAGUGUCUGGGAUGGAUGAUUGCUUGAAAAUAGAUUAAAAUAAUUUUUUUAAAUUUUAUUUUUAUUUUUAAUAUUAAAACGUUAAAACUAUAAAAUGACACUAAAUAAAACAUUCAAGUAAAAUAUAUUUUUUAAGAAAAAAUAAAAAAAACUACCACUCCAGUCCAGUGCGUGCUUUAAAAUCCUGUCAAGUACUCUUAGAUCAGAGAUAAAAGGGUAGCUUUGUUGUAGUCUUUGUGCAUGUGCGAACCCCAGUUGCUGAUCAGUCAAAUGCCACCUUUAUCUUUAUUGAUACACUAUAUUUUAUUAGCUUUCUCCAUAUACAUUGUAAGCUUCUCUCUAGUUGUUAUAUGAUAUGAUCCAAAAGUGGCUAUGCGCGCAAUAAUGUAGAGUGGUGGGUGUUUUGAAAAUGAAGUGAGCAAGAAACUUCUUUUUUUGUUGGAAAAUUGCAGGGAGUGGUAGCAUCAGGGAUUGCCUUCGCUGUACAGAUAUGGUGCAUUGACAGAGGUGGCCCUGUCUUUGUGGCUGUUUAUCAACCUGUUCAGACUCUUGUUGUCGCUAUUAUGGC
rnacentral:lncRNA from 1 species